CUCCAUUGCCCCUCAGCCCCCAACAGUCUCGCCUCAAAACGUUUGCAACUGCUGCGUUAGCAUGAGUUGGCACCCACUGUUAACGUGGUUCAUGACUUUUUGUUUAAGCUGGGCCACCUGUUCCCUGAGCAUGUUGGCGGUGGACGCCAGCUCCGAGUUCUGCGCUUUCAAGGUUUUCACUUUUUCCUCCAGCCGGGCGAUCCUCUCCAGCUUCCUUUUCCGGCACUUGGAGGCAGCGAUGCGGUUCCUCAUGCGCUUCCUCUCCGCCUUGAUCCGCUCCUGCGACUCCAUGUCGAUGGGAGACAGGGGCGGGGUUUCCCCGGGCAUCUCGGGCACCGUCUGCGGCUCCUCCUUCAGGGCCUGCAGCCGCGGGUGCUGCACGGGGAUCUGCUGGGGCAGGUGGUGCGGCGGCUGCGGUGGUUGCUGUUGCUGCUGCUGGGGCUGAGCGGGAAAGGCCAGGCCCGCCGCGCCGUAGGAGGGCGCCCCGCCGCCGCUGCUCAGCGCGCCGGGGUUGAAGUUGCUGAGAUUAGCGUAGACUGGCGGCUCGCUGUGUAGGCUGGCGCUGAAGCCGCCGCUGCCGCUGCCGCCCGCCACUGAAGCUACCGCCGGAGCCACCAGGCCCGCCCCGCUGACCGGCUGCGCCGCCGACGUGACGCUGGGCAGAGUGUUCUGGCUGUGCAGUUCGGCCAGCGCGCGCACGAACCCCUCGGCGAAGCCCUCCUGCUCGUCAGUCACGUUCUUGGGGCAUAGGAACUGGGUAGGGGUCGGCGUGGUGGUGAUGUGCCCGUUACUGGACUGGAUUAUCAGGCGCUCGAGUUCGGGCGACGCCAGCUUGAGCAGCCCCACGUCGGGCGAGGUGAGGAGGUCGGAGUUCUUGGCCCGUAGGUGCGGCUUCAGGUUGCCCACCGGGUCAGCCAGGUUCAGGGUCAUGCUCUGCUUCAGGAUCUUGGGGUUACUGUAGCCGUAGGCACCGCUCUCGGACUGGAGGAACGAGGCGUUGAGGGCAUCGUCGUAGAAGGUCGUUUCCAUCUUUGCACUCGCUCCGGGGGAUCGCAAGGUUGAGACGCCGCCCGCACUCUUACUCGUCCGCUCGCGCGCGCUUCCCGGCUUUGAAAAAGUCGCGGUCACUCACGGUGAGCUCUCGGGAGCAGCGGUUCCUCGGAGCCCGCGGACGAACUCGCUUCCAGGCGGAGGCAGGCAGCGCAAAGCCCGCGGUGGCCUGCCCGCGGCGGGUCUCCGCCGCCCGGACUCCGACGACUGUCCCCUCCUCCGCUGCGAGGGGGAGGGGGCGCCCGGCAGCCGCGGGUCGCGCUCGCCCAAGUUCAGCAACCGGUGCGAGCGGAGCGGAGCGCACGUCCUCCUCACUCCACCGCCUCCUUUUCUUUACCGCCUCUGCGGCAGCUUCGGGCGGAGAGAAGCUUUGCGAAAGUUCGCUCCGGGACCCGGCGGCCACUUGUCCCCUGUCCUCCUUGCCGGGAAACUUCUCGCCGCUGCAGCUGGUCUCCGGACUUCCCCGUGCGGACAGUGGCCGCUCUCCGAGCUGUCAGCAGCGCCCGCGCAGCGGGGCUCUCCGCCUGGGGGCGGCUGGAGAAGGGGAUCUCCCGGCACUCCCCAAAACACCAGCCCGGGAGCCACAGGCGUUAGCUCCGGGUCGUGGGAGAGAAAAUGGAAAAGAAAAUAAGAUUUGCAGUCCGCCCCGACUGACGGUGCCUGUCUGCCUGCCUGAAUCGGCGAACCUCCACUCCCGCCUCGCUGCUUCAGCCACACUCAGUGCAACU
rnacentral:lncRNA from 9 species